CAAACCUGCCUCUCCGGUGCACAGGGCCUUGAAGUUCCUGCACGUCUUUGGACACACGUCUGAGAACAGCUGGCAGCUGUGCUUCGCAGAUAGUUGGUGUAAUACUCCUCAGCCAGGGCCAUGUAAAGCGCCUGUGGUCGCUGAAAAGAAAACUUCCACUCUUUCGCUGCCCAGGUGGACAGUUUCCUCUCAUCACCGAGCAACUGGCCGUUUGCGAAGGACAUUAGGCAUCCAGUGUACUGCCAAACCUCUCCUCUCAGCUCCUUAAGAAGAAAACGUAAGCAUGGAUGAGUCUUAUGCUUAUGCGAACUUCAUCUAAAACUCGCUCCCAUACCCACCAUUUGCUUUUGUGAGCAUCAAUGGGAG